CUUCCCAUAUUUUUGAGUCAGGUUUAAUUUUUGUCUUGCCUUUUCUCCCGAGGAUCAUCGCACCAUAAGAAGAAAUGUCUGGACGCGGAAAGGGAGGCGAGGACUGGCGAAGGAAGGUGCGGAACGUGAGCGAACGGGCUUCGCAGUCUUCUAUGACAAGGUUUGCUAGAAGUGUCUGGGCUUGGUAAUCGAGGAAAGGCACAGGGAAAUGGAGGUUUCAGAGUGUCACCGUUACUACAAGUGCUUCGUGACAACAUCCGGUGCAUCCAGGGCACGAGUCUUUCCCGACAAGCAAUGUCUGGACGUUACCGGUACCGUCACCGAAGGCGCUUCACAACAUCCGGGGAGACAGUGGUCCUGGCGGAAGGCGUCUUAGCCUCGUGGCUGGAUUUCAGAAGCCUCUGAGAUGACAAAUGUCUGGAUGCCAUAAGGAAGCAGAGGUCACGCGCGCGUCACCGUCACUGACAUGACAAUAUCGUGCUUCGUGACAACACCACGUGCAUCACCAAGAAGGACUGGUUGAACAGUUUAGCUGUGGGUCAGAUGAUGCGUGCAUACGUUCCGGUCCAGCCCUGCCUUUGAAACUGUAUUGGAGGGAGGAAGCGGACCAUGAGACUGUUGAUAGUCACAAUAGGUUGGGAAGGAAAAAUCUCACAGCAUCUUCCAGGACCGCAUUGAUGCCAUGAAUUCCUGAUCAACUGCAGCUGCAAUGUUCCUGGUGGGACUUAUCCUGGUGAGAGGUUGUCCGACGCCAUCUCAACAUAUAUAGUGACGUCCAGAAAGAUCGGUGCUCGUGUGUGCGCCCUGCGAUCUGAGUGAUUUAGCCAGUAGUGCGUUAGGGCAUUUUGUAAAUGGAGGCUCCUUUUGCCCUCAUAGCUUCAGUCCGUUUCUGUGGUGUACAAGCUUGGUGUGUGGCUGAUUUUAUUUCACGUGACUGUGUCGAUGGCCGGAAUUGUAUUCGGUGAGUUACUGUUAAUUCUGUUCUUUAUAAACAGGGUUUUCCCUGGUUCACCAUCUGUUGUAAUUUCUGUUUUAUGUCAUGGUCAGUGGUUGUCGGGGACCUAGACCAUUACAUAAUCUGCCUCGUGUUGUUUUCUUGGGUCCCGAACCAAGAGAACGGCACAGGCCAGAAAGGAAGGCAAGUGGUUGAAAAACCUUCUUUUAUAUUAGUAUUUUAGUCCUCUAGAAAUGCUAGAGUUCUUGGUAUCGACGCAGACACAGAAACCGAAUCAAUACAAACAGAAUGCAAAGUGUACAAUUGUUCAGUUAUCAUGUAUAUCACGAUAGUAGAUACUUGUACAUAUAGUUACGCUUACUUACGUUAUGUGUUAGGUAUAGUUUUCCCAUAUUUCUGAGUGAAGAUCUCGUCUUUUUUUUGUAAAGAGGCUUAAUGUAGUGUUGUUUAGGCGCCUUUUGUUCAACAGUAGCAGCCUCUGUUUUUGAGUGUAUUUGUUUGAUGCCCUUCCAGUACAGGGGUGGCUGACGCUGGGUUGUUUUGUGUGUUUCAUUUUUUUGUCGCAGAAAAGUGGUCUACAUGUUAGAAUUUAGUAAAUGUCAACAUUGUCCGUUUAAAUCAGUUGUUUGGAAAUUUCCCUAGUAACUGAGGCUAAGGCUGGCGCUGACACUAACACAAGACAGACACAUACACACAUACACACUAACAGACUAACCCCACCAAACACACACAUUUUUGACGGACACUAAUAAUCAGCUCAAAUGCCUUAGCCUUAGACUGAAAAAAAAUCUAUGAUUCUUCAAGUACAAAGGCUCCACGCUACCUCUAUACCAUGUAUUGACAAUGUCAAUAUCUACUGAUUUUUAGCUUUCUUUUAUCCACUAUGUCCUAGAGUGAGGGUAACUGUUAACCUAAAUGGGUUAGAUGUGAAGUUCAUUUUUGAUGCUAGAGUAUCUUCAUUUAUUAUGAGGUUUAUAUAUUAUACACUUUGCAUUUCUCUAUUUUGCUAAUAAACAAAAAUGUUGAAAUUGGA